GAUGAACGCUGGCGGCGUGCCUAAUACAUGCAAGUCGAGCGAACGGACGAGAAGCUUGCUUCUCUGAUGUUAGCGGCGGACGGGUGAGUAACACGUGGAUAACCUACCUAUAAGACUGGGAUAACUUCGGGGAACCGGAGCUAAUACCGGAUAAUAUUUUGAACCGCAUGGUUCAAAAGUGAAAGACGGUCUUGCUGUCACUUAUAGAUGGAUCCGCGCUGCAUUAGCUAGUUGGUAAGGUAACGGCUUACCAAGGCAACGAUGCAUAGCCGACCUGAGAGGGUGAUCGGCCACACUGGAACUGAGACACGGUCCAGACUCCUACGGGAGGCAGCAGUAGGGAAUCUACCGCAAUGGGCGAAAGCCUGACGGAGCAACGCCGCGUGAGUGAUGAAGGUCUUCGGAUCGUAAAACUCUGUUAUUAGGGAAGAACAUAUGUGUAAGUAACUGUGCACAUCUUGACGGUACCUAAUCAGAAAGCCACGGCUAACUACGUG
rnacentral:rRNA from 1 species